AGUCAGAGAUGCAACAUUCAUCCAACCCGCUAGCAACCACCAUCUCACAUACACCCAGCCAGCUAGCAACCACCAUCUCACAUACAACCCCAGCCAGCUAGCAACCACCAUCUCACAUACACCCAGCCAGCUAGCAACCACAAGGAAAAGAGACAGAAGCAUGCAGAAGCCGUAGUGAAAGUGUCCCGUCAGAUGGUGACAAAGAAGUCCCCCGCGGUAUUGACCACUCGGAUAGCGACAAAGGAGUCCCCCUCUGAAACAGGGCCUAAGAAAGAACUAGAAGGCGAGGAACCACAUGCUGACACUGCAGAGAAAGUGCCUCCUCAGGUGACUGCAAUGGACUCUGCGGUCCCCUCUGAAUAAAAUCUGGUAAAAAUGUUGUAUCCAGGUGUCUUUAUGAGGAUUCUAAUCGGAUGUCUAAAGAGGCAUCAGUACAAGAUGAAAGGGAAGGGGAAGCAUCCUGCAAAGAGGAGGAAAAAGGCUUGCCAGUACAAAGGGAAGACACCACUUGUAUACACUAAGGAGAAAGUGCCUCCUCUAGAGGCUGCAAAGGACUCUGGGGACCCCUCUGAGCCAAAGCCCAAGAAAAAAGAAGAAUAAACACUAGAGGAAAAAGGAGAGAUAUUCAUAACGGUACACAGAACCUAUUUGACAAGGGGGAAACUGUCAAAGACAAAAGCAGAUGCUAAAGGCACUGAGGCCAAUUCUGAACCAGCACCCAAGAUGGAAGGGGAGGGAGGAAUGACAUAAGGGAAGGAACUGCUUGCAGACACAAUAGAGAAAGUAGUUCCUCAGUUGAUUACAAAUGCCUCUUGGCUUCCCUCUGAACCAGGGCCCAACAAAAAACCAGAAAGAGGAAGAAACUGUUAGAGUAGAAACUGCUUGCAGAUCAUAUGGAGAAAGUGUCUGCAAAGAGCCCUCAGCUCCUCUUGGAACCAAAGGCCGAGAAUGAGAGGACGACGCAAUUAAAGAUGGCGAGAAACUGCUAGCAGACCUUGUGGAGAAUGCGGCUAUAAUGGGCCCUGGCUUUCUCUUUGAACCAGAGGCUGAGAAAGAGACGAGGGGAGAAACAAGUUCUCCCUUGGUUAUCUGAAAUACCCAUGUUUUCACUAAGAUGAGGUUAUGUUGACCUUUUAUCUACCUAUGACUUGGCGUUCACCAGUCAACCACAUUUUGUCCUUGUUAUGGCAAAGCCUUUUAAUGACAUUGAAAUUCUUAAAUGUUCCUCAACUUGAAGAGUUCAAGCUGAAGAUAGGCACGCCUAACAUAGCCUCAAAGGAUGGCUAGCUGUUAUCUUCACUGGGCGUCAUGAGCUCAUCUCCCACUAGAAUAGAACCUGCUGCUGACCCAUCCAGACCCUAUGGACAUCAGUUGGCUUACUUGGUCACCUAUCAACCAUUUUAUAGAUUUGUAAUGACACUGGCAAAGGAUUUGUUAAAGUUGAGCCUUGUCCUUAAAUGCUUCACAUUGAAGUUAUUUUCAGUGUAAUUUAUUGGUAUUGUGUGUAUGUGGUAGGACCUAGGCCGCUCAUAUAUGCUAAGUACCUUUAGCGUCUACUGACGAUAGUAUCUUCUGGCCGGGGGAGUUUUAUUAAGACCCCAGACACUUGCACUAAAUGUUAACAUGCAUCAUUUCACACAUUGUUUGCGGUACGAUUUUGGAAACAUAAGGAACUAUCUUACAUAUCAGUGGAGAGAAAGAAACACCCGUUUAUUGGGUUAGGGUUCCCCCACGGCCAUAUUUCCAUGUUCCAGUGCUGGUUUACGGAAAACAUACAGAGACAGUUGACUACCUGUGCUAAUUAGUGAUCUGCGUCUCCAAAAACCUGUGUAGAAACGGAAGAUGGACACCGCAAACUCAUCACCGAAAAAUACUAUCGGCUGCAACUGUUAAAACCGGGUUUAUAAACUGGGUGGUUUGAGGCCUGAUUUCUGAUUGGCUGAAAGCCAUGGUAUAUCAGACCGUAUACCACAGGUAUGACUAAGCAUUUAGUUUGACGGCUCUAAUUACGUUGGUAACCAGUUUACAAUAGCAAUAAAGCUCCUCUGGGAUUUGGGAUUAUGACCAAUACCACUGCCAAGGGCUGUGUCCAGGCACUCUGUGUUGCGUCGUACAUAAGAAAAGACCUUAGCCGUGGUAUAUUGACCAUAUACCACUCUUCCUCUGGUCUUACUGCUUUUAUAACACGAGUAAAUGGAUAUUUUUCAUAUGAAAGUAGAUGGCUUUAUGUUUCUAGAACCGUACCUCAAUUUAGAUGGAGUAUUUGGCUGCCAGAGACAAUUUGCCUGUUUAUAAACCAAAUAAGGGCGUGUUUACUUGGUCUGGUCAUGUGGUCAGGAAAAACUCCUGGCCCUGGGCAUAGUACAUGUGUAUCAAUGCGAUGAAAAGACUAGCGGCGGAAUUAUGUUUGUAAGUUGUCAUGCCUGAUAGCUAAAAGAACUGCCAUUGUUUCAUUCCUCAGUUCAGUCAGCCCACCGAUUUCUAUAGAUCAUCAUUCACUUUGUAAAUAUGUAAUUGAAUAAAAUAUUCUAUCUAAUAUUGUAAA